GACGAACUUUGGCGGCGUGCUUAACACAUGCAAGUCGAACGGAAAGGCCCUGCUUUUGUGGGGUGCUCGAGUGGCGAACGGGUGAGUAACACGUGAGUAACCUGCCCUUGACUUUGGGAUAACUUCAGGAAACUGGGGCUAAUACCGGAUAGGAGCUCCUGCUGCAUGGUGGGGGUUGGAAAGUUUCGGCGGUUGGGGAUGGACUCGCGGCUUAUCAGCUUGUUGGUGGGGUAGUGGCUUACCAAGGCUUUGACGGGUAGCCGGCCUGAGAGGGUGACCGGCCACAUUGGGACUGAGAUACGGCCCAGACUCCUACGGGAGGCAGCAGUGGGGAAUAUUGCACAAUGGGCGGAAGCCUGAUGCAGCAACGCCGCGUGCGGGAUGACGGCCUUCGGGUUGUAAACCGCUUUCGCCUGUGACGAAGCGUGAGUGACGGUAAUGGGUAAAGAAGCACCGGCUAACUACGUGCCAGCAGCCGCGGUGAUACGUAGGGUGCGAGCGUUGUCCGGAUUUAUUGGGCGUAAAAGGGCUCGUAGGUGGUUGAUCGCGUCGGAAGUGUAAUCUUGGGGCUUAACCCUGAGCGUGCUUUCGAUACGGGUUGACUUGAGGAAGGUAGGGAGAAUGGAAUUCCUGGUGGAGCGGUGGAAUGCGCAGAUAUCAGGAGGAACACCAGUGGCGAAGGCGGUUCUCUGGGCCUUUCCUGACGCUGAGGAGCGAAAGCGUGGGGAGCGAACAGGCUUAGAUACCCUGGUAGUCCACGCUGUAAACGGUGGGUACUAGGUGUGGGGUCCAUUCCACGGGUCCCGUGCCGUAGCUAACGCUUUAAGUACCCCGCCUGGGGAGUACGGCCGCAAGGCUAAAACUCAAAGGAAUUGACGGGGCCCCGCACAAGCGGCGGAGCAUGCGGAUUAAUUCGAUGCAACGCGUAGAACCUUACCUGGGUUUGACAUGGAUCGGGAGUGCUCAGAGAUGGGUGUGCCUCUUUUGGGGUCGGUUCACAGGUGGUGCAUGGCUGUCGUCAGCUCGUGUCGUGAGAUGUUGGGUUAAGUCCCGCAACGAGCGCAACCCUUGUUCACUGUUGCCAGCACGUUAUGGUGGGGACUCAGUGGAGACCGCCGGGGUCGACUCGGAGGAAGGUGGGGAUGACGUCAAGUCAUCAUGCCCCUUAUGUCCAGGGCUUCACGCAUGCUACAAUGGCUGGUACAGAGAGUGGCGAGCCUGUGAGGGUGAGCGAAUCUCGGAAAGCCGGUCUCAGUUCGGAUUGGGGUCUGCAACUCGACCUCAUGAAGUCGGAGUCGCUAGUAAUCGCAGAUCAGCAACGCUGCGGUGAAUACGUUCCCGGGGCU
rnacentral:rRNA from 1 species